UGCCCAGCAACUCCUAUCCCUACCUCCUCUUGGUACUGGCCGGGGUACGAGUAGCCUUAGGGAAGAUCUGGUAACCAACCCCGGGUGGAACUUUGGUCGUAUGCUGACAGGGAAGG
rnacentral:ribozyme from 1 species